ACCAAGUUGACGAGUUCCAUAUAGGACGAAACAUGUGUCCUGGAU
rnacentral:hammerhead_ribozyme from 1 species